GACCCUUUUCACACUUCGCUACUUCCGGUUUGAAAGCGAGGCUUGGAGAGCAGAAGGUGAAGGCUGGAUAGCACAUGAAACACAUGGAGAUGUCAACAAGGCAUGCAAUCGGGACAAACUGUGACAAUUUAACCAUCCCGGUACAUUUAUCGCAAGCCAGCGAGUCAACACAAUGAAGUACUAGUAUCCCGUGACGGAUGUCUGGAGGAGCUUUCUGCUGACAGUAACACAAUGGUUACAAUGUGCGUCCUGUCAAAGGACGAGGAAGUGAAAAGCCAUAUUCAUUCAAUCAUCAAAUGUGGUUCCUGUCACAUUUCUCUUAAAUAGGACGAGGAACUGAAAAGCCUUAUUCACUCACAAAUCAACAUGGCCAAUAUU
rnacentral:lncRNA from 1 species